rnacentral:tRNA from 1 species
GAUCCACUAGCUCAGCCGGUAGAGCACAUGACUUUUAAUCAUGGUGUCCGGAGUUCGACCCUCCGGUGGAUCACCA